rnacentral:tRNA from 1 species
GCACCCUAUGGAAAAUACGCCCUUGUUUACUCCUAAGCGGAAGGCCUUGGGUUCGACUCCCGAUGGGUGCGCCA